GACGAACGCUGGCGGCGUGCUUAACACAUGCAGGUCGAACGGAAAGGCCCUGCUUUUGUGGGGUGCUCGAGUGGCGAACGGGUGAGUAACACGUGAGUAACCUGCCCUUGACUUUGGGAUAACUUCAGGAAACUGGGGCUAAUACCGGAUAGGAGCUCCUGCUGCAUGGUGGGGGUUGGAAAGUUUCGGCGGUUGGGGAUGGACUCGCGGCUUAUCAGCUUGUUGGUGGGGUAGUGGCUUACCAAGGCUUUGACGGGUAGCCGGCCUGAGAGGGUGACCGGCCACAUUGGGACUGAGGUACGGACCAGACUCCUACGGGAGGCAGCAGUGGAGAAUAUUGCACAAUGGGCGGAAGCCUGAUGCAGCAACGCCGCGUGCGGGAUGACGGCCUUCGGGUUGUAAACCGCUUUCGCCUGUGACGAAGCGUGAGUGACGGUAAUGGGUAAAGAAGCACCGGCUAACUACGUG
rnacentral:rRNA from 1 species